ensembl:lncRNA
AAAAAUCAAAACUCCCAGCAGUGUACUAUGGGGAAUGUAGCAGAACUACUGGAAAACAGGACACAGAGAAGUCUGUUGUGCUCGGCUGAGUCUCAUGGCUAUAGAUGGAGCAAAGGAGCUAAAAUGAAGUAGGAAUUGGAAGAACAGAGGAGAAAAACUGGAUUUUUGCCACCAAUAUUCAUCCUUCACUUACCCUGAAGACCAUUUUCUAAGACGGAGGCAUGAAAGGAAAGAAGGAUCAUUUAAAGCAAAAAAUGGCUUCCAUUUAUCUCUUACACGACAUGAAUAAAACAGACGUACCAGGUAGGUCCUCAGUCCUAGGAAACUAAUAUGUCCAGUAUAUCCAACUGUGAUGUCAAAUUCCUGUCUGAAGAUAAGCACCAACUGCCAUCCUUGAAGCUCCGCCUGCCUUAGACAAGGUUUUGAGGAACAAAAUUAAAAUCAUUAAAUGAGCCAUAGAGUUUACUAUUAAUGUAUGAUUCUGAUGAUCACAACCUGAAUAAAGAAAAAAGAUAUUUCUAGCAAGAAUAAGGUAAGUGGUCAUGUUGGUUUCCUGGGAAAAUAAUAAUGUAUUCUUGGAAGCACCACUAAUUAUUCAUAAAUUUUAAAAAUACCUGUAUAAAGAGCAAGGAAGCACAUGAAUUUGUCAGGGAAAGAAAAGAGCAAAGCAGGAAAUGAGGAAGAUGUGACUUAUGGAAAAGCAGCAGUAAGAAGAGGCAUGAAAAUGAAGUGAAAGUCGCUCAGUCAUGUCUGACUGUUUGCGACCCUAUGGACUAUACAGUCCAGUGAACUGUCCAGGCCAGAAUACUGGAGUGGGUAGCCUUUCCCUUCUCAACCCAGGGACAGAACCCAGGUCUCCUACAUUGCAGGCAGAUUCUUUACCAGCUGAGCCACAAGAGAAGAGGAGGCAGAGUGAGAAGUAACUGAGGAAAGUGUAUUUUUACCAUCAUUCUUGCUCUCUGACAACUUUAGUUUUCAGCUCUGUUUAUCAGAUUGUUGUAUAAUUUAUCAAAUUUAUUUUUUAGGCUUUCAUAUUUCAUAAUUUGUUGUUUAAAAAAUACUUGCUAAUCCCCUCACAUCUUUCAGUUGUUUGUCCAGAUAUCAUCUUGUCAGGCAGUCCACUGACUGCUCACAUUCUGUGACCUGACAGCCCUCCCCGGUCCCUGUACUUCAGAGCUCUCUAGUCCUGUUCCAC